UAUCCCUCCCUUCCCUGCGCCUAGUACAGCGCUGGCUGCCUGGUGCGCACCCAGCUCCCGUGAGGAAGGCGGGACGCGUGCCUGCAUGAACUGGAGAGAGACGUGGAGGACAGCAGCCCCUACAUUCUGAAGUGUGACACAGCACCAUAAAUGACAACAGUUUGUGUGCCUGCUCAGACAGUGACUAAUGAUGCUUGGUUGCCUCGAGCGCAUUAAGACACGAUUACAUUCUGUUAGCUCAGCGCUCCUGCCUUCGGAACGAAAGUGGCGCUGUGCUAGGUACCAACCCUGGUGGGGGAUGGACUGCACUACUAGAAUCCUGGUGAGCCCGAAUGCACUGUGAGCUGACACCCUGCUGCCCUACCUCCUUCCUAAGGAGCAGAAAGGGAUACCUGGACUGAGAUGAGUGGAGGCGGAGUAGCAGCUGAGCUCCUGUCUGCGUGAAGUCCACACUUUCAAAGAUAGAACUCCGUCCAUCAGAGGAGUGAAGUGUGCUUGGAUCCAGAAUAAAAGCUUUCUGUCAUAUUGCCUUGUAACGUUUUUUGGCGCUUUUAGAAAGGAGAGAGAGAGAAUGAAAUUGGGUGACAACAAUUCUAAAUGGAGUCUUUGCCUUUGAUGGUUUCUGAAGACAGAACCAUGGCGGAUACUGGCUAUGAAAGCUUGCUAUGAUACUGGCUAUGAAAAGUCUCCCAGUGUCAACUUGCUUUUUCUCAGUGACAGACAGGGGUUCGUUUAGGGUGCCGUGAUGCUGACGUCUGCAGUGGGAAGCAUGGGGGCUCCAAGGUCCUUUGGUACAGCCUCCACACAAACACUGAGGAUUUCUACAGUUAGCCCCCUUCUUGCGGUG
rnacentral:lncRNA from 1 species